AAGUCGAGGGGCAACAUGGUAUCAGCUUGCUGAUACCGAUGGCGACCGGCGCACGGGUGAGUAACGCGUAUGUAAUCUACCUGUAACAGAGGGAUAACCCGGAGAAAUCCGGACUAAUACCUCAUAGCACAUAUUAUUCGCAUGAAUUUUAUGUUAAAGAGACUCGGUUACAGAUGAACAUGCGUUCCAUUAGCUGGUUGGCGGGGUCACGGCCCACCAAGGCAACGAUGGAUAGGGGUUCUGAGAGGAAGGUCCCCCACACUGGUACUGAGACACGGACCAGACUCCUACGGGAGGCAGCAGUGAGGAAUAUUGGUCAAUGGGCGGAAGCCUGAACCAGCCAAGUCGCGUGGAGGAAGACGGCCCUACGGGUUGUAAACUCCUUUUACCUGGGAAUAACGGGCGCUACGCGUAGCGCUGUGCAAGUACCGGGAGAAUAAGCAUCGGCUAAUUCCGUGCCAGCAGCCGCGGUAAUACGGAAGAUGCGAGCGUUAUCCGGAUUUAUUGGGUUUAAAGGGUGCGUAGGCGGAAGAAUAAGUCAGCGGUGAAAUGCUUCAGCUCAACUGGAGAAUUGCCGAUGAAACUGUUUUUCUAGAGUAUAAAAGAGGUAUGCGGAAUGCGUGGUGUAGCGGUGAAAUGCAUAGAUAUCACGCAGAACCCCGAUUGCGAAGGCAGCAUACUGGG
rnacentral:rRNA from 1 species